AGAGUUUGAUCCUGGCUCAGGACGAACGCUGGCGGCGUGCCUAAUACAUGCAAGUAGAACGCUGAAGGAGGAGCUUGCUUCUCUGGAUGAGUUGCGAACGGGUGAGUAACGCGUAGGUAACCUGCCUGGUAGCGGGGGAUAACUAUUGGAAACGAUAGCUAAUACCGCAUAACAGUAGAUAUCGCAUGAUAGCUGCUUGAAAGGUGCAAUUGCACCACUACCAGAUGGACCUGCGUUGUAUUAGCUAGUUGGUGAGGUAACGGCUCACCAAGGCAACGAUAUUCUAUAGCCGAACUGAGAGGGUGAUCGGCCACACUGGGACUCGAGACACGGCCCAGACUCCUACGGGAGGCAGCAGUAGGGAAUCUUCUGGCAAUGGACCGAAGUUCUGACCGAGCAACGCCGCGUGAGAGUAAGAAGGUUCUCGGAUUCGUAAAGCUUCUGUUGUAAGAGAAGAACGAGUGUUGAGGAGUGGAAAGUUCACACUGUGACGGUAUCUUACCAGAAAGGGACGGCUAACUACGUGCCAGCAGCCGCGGUAAUACGUAGGUCCCGAGCGUUGUCCGGAUUUAUUGGGCGUAAAGCGAGCGCAGGCGGUUAGAUAAGUCUGAAGUUAAAGGCUGUGGCUUAACCAUAGUACGCUUUGGAAACUGUUUAACUUGAGUGCAAGAGGGGAGAGUGGAAUUUCCAUGUGUAGCGGUGAAAUGCGUAGAUAUAUGGAGGAACACCGGUGGCGAAAGCGGCUCUCUGGCUUGUAACUGACGCUGAGGCUCGAAAGCGUGGGGAGCAAACAGGAUUAGAUACCCUGGUAGUCCACGCCGUAAACGAUGAGUGCUAGGUGUUAGACCCUUUCCGGGGUUUAGUGCCGUAGCUAACGCAUUAAGCACUCCGCCUGGGGAGUACGACCGCAAGGUUGAAACUCAAAGGAAUUGACGGGGGCCCGCACAAGCGGGUGGAGGCAUGUGGUUUAAUUCGAAGCAACGCGAAGAACCUUUACCAGGUCUUGACAUCCCUCUGACCGCUCUAAGAGAAAGGAGUUUUCCUUCGGGACAGAGGUGACAGGUGGUGCAUGGUUGUCGUCAGCUCGUGUCCUGAGAAUGUUGGGUUAAGUCCCGCAACGAGACGCAAACCCUAUUUGUUAGUGGCCAUCAUUCAGUUGGGCACUCUAGCGAGAACUGCCGGUAAUAAACCGGAGGAAGGUGGAGAUGAACGUCAAAUCAUCAUCUAGCCCCAUUAUGACACGUGGGCUACACACAAUGCUACGAAUGGUUGGUACAACGAGUCGCAAGCCGGUGACGGCAAGCUAAUCUCUUAAAGCCAAUCUCAGUUCGGAUUGUAGGCUGCAACUCGCCUACAUGAAGUCGGAAUCGCUAGUAAUCGCGGAUCAGCACGCCGCGGUGAAUACGUUCCCGGGCCUUGUACACACCGCCCGUCACACCACGAGAGUUUGUAACACCCGAAGUCGGUGAGGUAACCUUUUAGGAGCCAGCCGCCUAAGGUGGGAUAGAUGAUUGGGGUGAAGUCGUAACAAGGUA
rnacentral:rRNA from 1 species